UACGUGCCAGCAGCCGCGGUCAUACGUAGGGUCAAGCAUUAUCCGGAUUGACUGGGUGUAAAGAGUUGCGUAGGUGGCAUGGUAAGUAGAUAGUGAAAUCUGGUGGCUCAACCAUUCAGACUGUUAUCUAAACUGCCAAGCUCGAGAGCGUUAGGGGUAGCUGGAAUUUCUAGUGUAGGAGUGAAAUCCGUAGAUAUUAGAAAGAACACCGAUAGCGUAGGCAGGCUACUGGGGCGUUUCUGACACUAAGGCACGAAAGCGUGGGGAGCAAACGGGAUUAGAUACCCCGGUAGUCCACGCUGUAAACGAUGGAUGCUAGCAGUUCCCGGUAUCGACCCCGGAAGUUGCGAAGCUAACGCGUUAAGCAUCCCACCUGUGUAGUACGAUCGCAAGAUUAAAACAUAAAGGAAUUGACGGGGACCCGCACAAGCGGUGGAGCGUGAUCUUUAAUUCGAUGGUAAACGAUAAACCUUACCAAGGCUUGACAUCCGAGGAAGGCUCUCGAAAGAGAACUGUGCCUUCGGGAACCUCGAGACAGAUGAUGCAUGGCCGUCGUCAGCUCGUGUCGUGAGAUGUUUGGUUAAGUCCAUCAACGAGCGCAACCCUUGCAACCAGUUGGAUUUUUCUGGUAGGACUGCCCCGGUAACGGGGAGGAAGGAGGGGAUGAUGUCAGGUCAGUAUUUCUCUUACGCCUUGGGCUAGAAUCGCGCUACAAUGGCCGGUACAAUGCGAAGCGAAGCAGCGAUGUGAAGCAAAUCGCACCAAAGCCGGUCCCAGUUCGGAUUGGAGGCUGAAACUCGCCUCCAUGAAGUCGGAAUCGCUAGUAAUCGCAGAUCAGCAUGUUGCGGUGAAUACGUUCCCGGGUCUUGCACUCACCGCCCGU
rnacentral:rRNA from 1 species